UUUUUUUGUUGGUGCUUGGUGUCUGAGAUCAUUCCUGGUCUUUGGUAAGGUUGGUGUGUUGUGCCUGAAAUCAUCCCUGGUCUUUGGAAAGGUUGGUGCUUGGUGCCUGAGAUCAUCCCUGGCUCUUUAGUUUGGUUGGUGCAUGGUGCCUGAAAACCUCUUAGGUCUUUGGUUGGGUUGGUGCUCUUUGCCCUAGUUCAUGCCUGUUCUUUGUUUUGGUUGGUGCUCGGUGCUGGAGAUCAUCCCUGGUCUUUGGUUGGAUUGGUGCUUGGUGCCUGAGAACCUCUCAGGUCUUUGGUUGGAUUGGUGCUUGGUGCCUGAGAACCUCUCAGGUCUUUGGUUGGGUUGUUGCUGUACAAUAUUUUGUUAUCAGUGUAGACAAUUUUCUGUCACUUCUUUUGUUUAUGUGUUGUCAUGUCUUUUUUCACCACAUGGGUUUAGAUUGGCCCUUUGGUAUCUUCCUUUUUUUAUGUAUGAUCUUGUUAAUCAUUAUACCUCACUGUUUGAAUUUUUGAGGAUUAAUAUUAUGGAAAUACUAUUAGAGAUAUAUGCUAUUCCCAGAUGUUCCAGGACAUGGAUAACUUCUUGAUUACACUGUGUGUGCUGCUUCAUUGAAAAAAGGUGAAAAUUAAGAUGUCUGGUGUGUUAAAUUUUGUGAGGUAGGAUAUUUCUUGUGUUCCUUCUCAAAUUUGUACACCAGUUAAUACUUCUGAUUGAUUUUUCUGUGUGUUUUAUCUCAUUGACAAAAAUACACAAAAAGACAGAAAUAAUAAAUACCGUAUACCUAUACAUCUUUGUAAGAACUCUGAAAUGGAUAUGAAUAAGAAAGAUUAGUA
rnacentral:lncRNA from 1 species